rnacentral:misc_RNA from 1 species
AAGUCGUAACAAGGUUUCCGUAGGUGAACCUGCGGAAGGAUCAUUAACGAGUUAGGGUCUCUCUGGCCCGACCUCCCAACCCUUUGUCUACUUGACCAUCGUUGCUUCGGCGAGCCCGUCCUCACGGACCGCCGGAGGACCAACCAAAAACUCUUUUGUAUACCCCCUCGCGGGUUUUUAUAUCUGAGCCAUCUCGGCGCCUCUCGUAGGCGUUUCGAAAAUGAAUCAAAACUUUCAACAACGGAUCUCUUGGUUCUG